CCUACGGGAGGCAGCAGUGGGGAAUCUUAGACAAUGGGGGAAACCCUGAUCUAGCCAUGCCGCGUGAUCGAUGAAGGCCUUAGGGUUGUAAAGAUCUUUCAGAUGGGAAGAUAAUGACGGUACCAUCAGAAGAAGCCCCGGCUAACUCCGUGCCAGCAGCCGCGGUAAUACGGAGGGGGCUAGCGUUAUUCGGAAUUACUGGGCGUAAAGCGCACGUAGGCGGAUCAGAAAGUCAGAGGUGAAAUCCCAGGGCUCAACCUUGGAACUGCCUUUGAAACUCCUGGUCUUGAGGUCGAGAGAGGUGAGUGGAAUUCCGAGUGUAGAGGUGAAAUUCGUAGAUAUUCGGAGGAACACCAGUGGCGAAGGCGGCUCACUGGCUCGAUACUGACGCUGAGGUGCGAAAGCGUGGGGAGCAAACAGGAUUAGGAUACCCUGGUAGUCCAGCCGUAACGAUGAAUGCCAGUCGUCGGGUAGCANGNUAUCGUGCACACUACGUAUAGCNUCGUCGUGGAGUACGGUCGCGAGAUAACUACGAAGAAGUAGACGCGNGAGACGNGCCGACGACGACGACGAGGAGGAGG
rnacentral:rRNA from 1 species